rnacentral:misc_RNA from 1 species
GAAGAAGAGAACGAAUAGGAUGGGGCUGGUUCAUGGCAGCAUGAGCGUUGUGUACCAAAUUCACGCUCUUGUAGUGCACAAGUGCUUGAAGAUUGACGCGCAGGUGAUUUUUGUUGACAUUGGCGUUGGUGAGGAGGCCAGAGCUGUGUUGUUGGUUGAUGUUCAUCUUCCCGUUGAAUUGUGGUUCGGUUGGCAGUUUCCUAAAUCCAAGACGGUUGCU